rnacentral:rRNA from 1 species
UUGAAAGGGAAACGAUUGAAGUCAGUCAUACCAACGGGAAAUCAACCUUUUGAGCUUGGUCUCGUGGGUUUUGAAGAGUUUCAAAGCCUUCGGAUUCGCGGGAUUGGGAUCUCUUGGUGUACUUUUUCGUACGGUUAGUCAGCAUCGGUUUUGAAUGUCAUAAAAUGACUGGAGGAAUGUAGCUUCGAUCUCGUAUUGAAGUGUUAUAGCCUUUGGUAGAUGUGAUGUUUGAGACCGAGGAUUGCAACGGAUACCCUUCAGGGCUAUUCGUCUGAUCUCUGAUACGUUGCCUUGAUGUUGAAAGCUUGCUUAUGAUGUUAGGGUAUUACGGUCAAAAGGUUAGAACGAAUUACAUUCGUUAAGGAUGUUGACGUA